AUUGCACCCAUAUCACAUUUUUAGAAAACCUGAGGGGAACUACGGGUUUAGAAUGACUUCGCCUCCGCCUCUUUUCUCGUUCGAUCGUCUACGGCCUCCGCUUCCUCUCUCCUUCGUUCUUCUACGCCCCUGCCUCCGCCUCUGCUUUUUCGAUUGUCUGCCUUCCUCCUCCUCCUCUGGCUUUUCGAUUGUCUACCUUCCUCCUCCUCCUCCUACUUGGCUCUUCUCCUCAGCUAUCAGCUAUUUCAUACCCAGAAGUGUUGGAUCCUGAGCAAGCAGUGAAAGGGCUAUCUGGUGUGAAUUGGAAUAAAUAAAAAAAAUUUGCUGGGUUUUUGAGACUUGUGAUGUUAUUCAUCAGUAUUCAUGCCUGGUUUCUUCUUGCAAUAAUUUUGUUGAUUGUUGUAGGAAACUCCGCUCUCAAACAUAGGCAAUGAACAAUUGAGUUGACAUGCUGCUGGGAGAAUUGUUUGCAAUGCAGAGAAGACUUGUCUCUUACUUUUGUGAUGAUGAACUGGGUUGUAGCAAGCAAUUUUGACAUAAGAGUUGAGUUGAAAUUGAAACUUGCUAUUGAACCAAAAGGGAGCUGCUGAAAGUGGGUCUAAGCAGCAGCAACAACAACCCAACAGACAUGGAUCGAAAGAGAAAGAGGAAGAUUGUGACAACUCUAGUUGCAGUAGAGUUAGAUAAACAACAUUUGUGUGCAUCCAUGAUGUCAGUAACUGUCAUAUAUACUUUGACAGAUGGUACUAUGAAAAAUACCAUUACCGCAUCUGACCAAUGGUCUGGAUGGAGGGAUAGUAAAUAGAAAAUCUAUAUGUUGGGGGUUUUCUGGCUAGCUAAAAAUCUAUUAUAAUGGCAAAACCAGCAGGUGGCCCUAGUGAGAGAGAUCAGCAUGCAGGGAUGGAUGAGGACUAAUUUUGUGUGUAUGACAAUUGACUAUCUUUGCUUGUAUUGCUCUAUGUUAGGGAUCUUUUGUUCCAUUUUAGUAACAAUUUUGUUUAGGAGAAAAAGAAACAUAUUGCAGUUCAUGCUUUGUAAAUGCCACUAUUAUGUUAUGAUGGACACGUGGUAUGCCUUUGUUGGGUAGGUUUUGGAUUGAAACCAUGGUCGAGUGCUUGAGCCAUGUUUAGUGUGAAGCUUGAAUGGAUUUUCUUUUCUGUUGUAUUUGGCCCUUGUCUUUUCAAGCAUGCCAAAAAUCAUCCUAGUUUUGUAAUAUGUGGUUUGUGUCCAAUUAAUUUACUGUGGACCUUGCAUUUUUGUA